rnacentral:lncRNA from 1 species
GUAUCUGCAAGCACAAUAGUAACAGCGAAGUAGCGGGUAUCGACAGUGUAACGAGCAAUAGCAGUGGCAAGGAACAGCAGUAGUGACAGCAGUAGCAAGUAGCAACAGUAGCAAGCGACAGUAGAAGCAACAAUAGCAGCAGAGCAAGACAAGUAACAGCAGUAGCAACAGUAGUAGCAGCAGAGUAAGACAAGUAAUAGGAGUAGCAACAGUAGUAGCAGCAGAGCAAGACAAAUAACGGC